AAAAGGAGAUGGAGGAAGGGAUUGGCUUAGAUGACUGGUAAGAUCCCUCCCAAGUUAUAAAUUCUGUGUGUCCUAUGAGAGGUAGACAUGUCAAAGGAAAAAAAAAGCUAAACAAAUAAAAAGAAAACACCGAAUAAGCUGCAAAUGGUGGAGAGGAGGAGAAAAAUGAUCAUCUCUUGAGUGUUUACUAUGAGCCAGAUGAACCCUCCUGGUAACCUUACCAGACUCUCAGACAAGAAGUUUGAUAUGAUUCAUAUGAAGCUCGAAAUUACAUUAAAGAAUCCCGUUUGCCACAGCAAGAUGCUCACACCACGAGGGCUCACAGGAACUGGAACCGGAACUGACUAAGAGAAGAACAAAUCCAUAUCUCUCAUCUGCUCUCUCCUGGGACUGCUCCCAGUGGGAGCAAAACUAAGAAUUUUAUCCACACUAUUAAAGUCGUUAUUUUCUCUCUUUUCAUUUUUUUGCUUUUGAUUUUUUAAAUCGAUCUAGUAUAGUUGAAUUUGUGUAAAUGUACCUAUGAUGCAAAUAACUAUAUGUCAAAAUGCAUUUGAUUAUCAUUGUGGUUAAGUUUUAAAAAAAAUCUAUUUAGUAUAGUUCAGGUACAAGGAAGAAGAGUCUUUAUUUAUUAUUUGUUUUAUUUUGUUUCAAUGAACAUUCAAUAAACAAUUACUAUAGGCAAAGAGAGGUGGAACCAUUGGGCAAAAAAAAGUAACUCUGAUCCAACCUCUGGCCUCAGACUUCAUAUUCGAUGGAGAUAAGGAUAAACAAAACCAAAAUCAAAAUAAGACUGUAUUAAGUAUCAUAAUUGUAUAGGAAGUGAAGAAAUUCAUUCUGCUUAAAUCAUGGAAGAAUGUUGCCCCAAGAAGUGCCCUUUGAAUCAGGUCUUGCACAACAAGCAGGAUUUUAUUAAAUAUAGAAAAGUGCGUGUGUGUGUGUAAAUGU